AACUGGCCUGUGCAUAUUUCGGAAGGCCCUUGUCACUUUCUUCAUCACAUGAGAUUUACCUUUUCAAAUGCGCUCUAUGACUUGGGUCUUUCAUGAGGUGACAUCCAUUUUGUGGGUUCUCAUAGACCAAAGAAUUCUAGAUGUAUCUGACCAAAGGGCAUUUCUCACCACCACUAGAGUAAAGGAGAUAAAAACCCACAAAUAGCUCUGAGUUGUUCUCUGACCUGUCAGAUUCCAAAUCUGCUUGUCCUGGGCCGUAAGCCAUGGCCCUUAAGGAUAACUGGUGAAGUCUGUGGAAGCAGCUGCUUCCGUAUCUGUUGGUGAACUUAAGUCUGUAGAUCAGCAGUCAGGAAGAUCAGCUCCAAGUAAAACAGAAAAAGGCCAAGCUAGAAACCUUGAAAAUAUCUACAAGGACAAAGCAAAACUAGCUUCUAAACUGAAUGAUGCAGUCAAUCUGUAGAAAGUGCCUUUCACCCCAGAGUUGCAUGUGCCUGGCACAGUACUUGAAGAAACAGAGAGAAGAGAUCUGGUGGGAGGUGGAGGAUUUAUGGGUCUUCGAGCACACCAGUGAGAGAAGCCAGUGGAUUAGCAACAAACCUAACGCUGGCCAUGCAUGGAGUCUCACACUGAACUUCUGUAUACUGCGAUCAUCAUUAGGAGAAUUCGGUGGAGUCCUCAAUAGGCUGCUGAUUUAUCUAAGGCCACAGAGGAAGGAACAGAGAGCUCAGGGUAAGUUUUAUGCACUUUAAGCCAGGGGUUUUUGGUUUGUUUGUUUGUUUGUUUGUUUGUUUGUUUUUUUCACCAAAUAUUAUACAAAGGAAUGUUAGCCAGCUAUCUAUAGAAAUACAAGUGUACUAUCGAACCCUCUAUUCUUUCAUUUACCAGGAUUAUGGGACUAUCUCAUGGCUAUGUAGAAGAACUAUGACAUAGCCUUUGAAUGGAACUGGGAGUUUGAAAUGUCUGACUUGUGCACUGUGAACCUGGAUAGAUGGUGGUCUUUUCCUUUUACGUUUUAUUCUUUGACAUUGUUUACACACAGUAUGCCAGCCACAGUAAAUUAUCACUAACUGACAAUAGAACAGCAGAUUACCAUUAACAACACGAGCUGCAAUUUUUCCAAGAAGUUAUUAUUUCUAAUAAAUAUAAUGUAGUGCACA
rnacentral:lncRNA from 1 species